CUUGGUCAUUUUAGAGGAAGUAAAAGUCGUAACAAGGUUUCCGUAGGUGAACCUGCGGAAGGAUCAUUAGUGAAACACAAGUCGGUUGUCUGUGCUGGUGGAAACACAUGUGCACGAUGGCUGCAAAUCCACACACCUGUGCACCUUUGACUGUGGGAUUCGCUUGUUGGUUCGUUCCAACUUGCAGCUGAUUGACAUUGCGUCGAUCGGAGUCUCAUGGUAUUUUUUACACACUCUAAAGUAAUGGAAUGUAUUUGUGAAUAACACAUAUAAUAACAACUUUCAACAACGGAUCUCUUGGCUCUCGCACCGAUGAAGAACGCAGCGAAAUGCGAUAAGUAAUGUGAAUUGCAGAAUUCAGUGAAUCAUCGAAUCUUUGAACGCACCUUGCACUCUUUGGUAUUCCGAAGAGUACGCCCGUUUGAGUGUCAUUGUAAUCUCACCUCUACAACUUUGUUGUUGUGGAAAGUGGACCUGGGCCCUGUCGUGUAACAACAACUGGCCUGAAAUGGAUGAGUGUACCCUGCUGCUGCAGCGUCUUCAGUGCGAUAAGCAUCUUCACUGAUAAAAGCUCCUUCGGGACACGAUUGCAAAGUGGGCUCUGCGCUUCCAACCGUCUGUUAACAGACAAUACUUGACCAUUUGGCCUCAAAUCGGGUGGGACUACCCGCUGAACUUAAGCAUAUCAAUAAGCGGAGGAAAAGAAACUAACAAGGAUUCCCCUAGUAACGGCGAGUGAAGAGGGAAAAGCUCAAAUUUUGAAUCUGUCGUCUUUGGCGAUCGAGUUGUAAUCUAGAGAAGUGUUUUCUGCCUUGGACCACACAUAAAAUCCCUGGAAUGGGGUGUCAAAGAGGGUGAGAAUCCCGUUUGUGGUGUGGACUCCCUGGGCUCUGUGAUACACUCUCAACGAGUCGAGUUGUUUGGGAAUGCAGCUCAAAAUGGGUGGUAAAUUCCAUCUAAAGCUAAAUACUGGCGAGAGACCGAUAGCGAACAAGUACCGUGAGGGAAAGAUGAAAAGCACUUUGGAAAGAGAGUGAAACAGUACGUGAAAUUGUUGAAAGGGAAGCGUUUGAAGUCAGUCACGUCGUCUGGGACUCAGCCUUGCUUCUGCUUGGUGUACUUCCCAGUCAACGGGUCAGCAUCAGUUUCGACCGCGGGAGAAAGACUUGGGGAAUGUGGCUCCUCGGAGUGUUAUAGCCUCUUGUUGUAUGUCUCGGUUGGGACUGAGGAUCGCAGCGCGCCUCAUGGCCGGGGUUCGCGCCCUCGGUACGCGCUUAGGAUGCUGGCAUAAUGGCUUUAAGCGGCCCGUCUUGAAACACGGACCAAGGAGUCUAACAUGUGCGCGAGUGUUUAGGUGUUAAACCUGGGCGCGUAAUGAAAGUGAAAGGUCGGGAUCAUGUACUUGUGCACCGACGCCCGGAGCAGACCUUCUGUGACGCAUCCGCGGUAGAGCGUAUAUGUUGGGACCCGAAAGAUGGUGAACUAUGCCUGAAUAGGGUGAAGUCAGAGGAAACUCUGAUGGAGGCUCGUAGCGAUUCUGACGUGCAAAUCGAUCGUCAAAUUUGGGUAUAGGGGCG
rnacentral:rRNA from 1 species